GUGCUCUCUUUGGCUGCAGAUAUACUACAUUGGAACAAUGCAGAGAAGAUUAGCAUGACCUCUACACAUAGAUGACACAUAAACUUGUGAAGUGAUCUAUAUUUUU